AACAUCUAAGUACCCCGAGGAAAAGAAAUCAACCGAGAUUCCGAAAGUAGCGGCGAGCGAAAUUGGACUAGCCCUUAAGCUUUACACGCGUUAGACGAACGGUCUGGAAAGUCCGACGAUACAGGGUGAUAGUCCCGUAGUUGACGACGUGUGUUCAGUGAAAUCGAGUAGGGCGGGACACGUGAUAUCCUGUCUGAAUAUGGGGGGACCAUCCUCCAAGGCUAAAUACUACUGACUGACCGAUAGUGAACCAGUACCGUGAGGGAAAGGCGAAAAGAACCCCUGUGAGGGGAGUGAAAUAGAACCUGAAACCGUGUACGUACAAGCAGUAGGAGCAGGCUUUGUCCUGUGACUGCGUACCUUUUGUAUAAUGGGUCAGCGACUUAUAUUCAGUGGCAAGGUUAACCAUCUAGGGGAGCCGUAGGGAAACCGAGUCUUAACUGGGCGUUCAGUCUCUGGAUAUAGACCCGAAACCAGGUGAUCUAGCCAUGGGCAGGUUGAAGGUUGAGUAACAUCAACUGGAGGACCGAACCGACUAAUGUUGAAAAAUUAGCGGAUGACUUGUGGCUAGGGGUGAAAGGCCAAUCAAACCUGGAGAUAGCUGGUUCUCCCCGAAAGCUAUUUAGGUAGCGCCUCGGACGAAUACUACUGGGGGUAGAGCACUGUUAAGGCUAGGGGGUCAUCCCGACUUACCAACCCUUUGCAAACUCCGAAUACCAGUAAGUACUAUCCGGGAGACACACGGCGGGUGCUAACGUCCGUCGUGGAGAGGGAAACAACCCAGACCGCCAGCUAAGGUCCCAAAUUACUACUAAGUGGGAAACGAUGUGGGAAGGCUCAGACAGCCAGGAUGUUGGCUUAGAAGCAGCCAUCAUUUAAAGAAAGCGUAAUAGCUCACUGGUCGAGUCGGCCUGCGCGGAAGAUGUAACGGGGCUAAGUA
rnacentral:rRNA from 1 species